CAGGUUAGUGGCGCACGGGUGCGUAACGCGUAUGCAACCUACCUUCCACUGGGGGAUAGCCCGCCGAAAGGCGGAUUAAUACCGCAUAAGACCACACCCCGGCAUCGGGGAGUGCUCAAAGCUGAGGCGGUGGAAGAUGGGCAUGCGUGCCAUUAGCUAGUUGGCGGGGUAAAGGCCCACCAAGGCGACGAUGGCUAGGGGUUCUGAGAGGAUGGUCCCCCACACUGGUACUGAGACACGGACCAGACUCCUACGGGAGGCAGCAGUAGGGAAUAUUGGGCAAUGGCCGAGAGGCUGACCCAGCCAUGCCGCGUGCAGGAAGAAGGCCUUCUGGGUUGUAAACUGCUUUUACCAGGGAAGAAAACGCUCUUGCGAGAGUAACUGACGGUACCUGGUGAAUAAGCACCGGCUAACUCCGUGCCAGCAGCCGCGGUAAUACGGAGGGUGCAAGCGUUGUCCGGAUUUAUUGGGUUUAAAGGGUGCGUAGGCGGCCCGUUAAGUCAGCGGUGAAAUCCCAGGGCUCAACCCUGGAACUGCCGUUGAUACUGGCGGGCUUGAGUUCGGUCGAGGCGGGCGGAACUGGUGGUGUAGCGGUGAAAUGCAUAGAUACCACCAAGAACCCCGAUUGCGAAGGCAGCUCGCUGGCCCGAAACUGACGCUGAGGCACGAAAGCGUGGGGAGCGAACAGGAUUAGAUACCCUGGUAGUCCACGCCGUAAACGAUGAUUACUCGAUGUUUGCGAUACACGGCAAGCGUCCAAGCGAAAGCGUUAAGUAAUCCA
rnacentral:rRNA from 1 species